CCUACGGGUUGCAGCAGUGGGGAAUAUUGCACAAUGGGCGCAAGCCUGAUGCAGCCAUGCCGCGUGUAUGAAGAAGGCCUUCGGGUUGUAAAGUACUUUCAGCGGGGAGGAAGGCGAUAAGGUUAAUAACCUUGUCGUUUGACGUUACCCGCAGAAGAAGCACCGGCUAACUCCGUGCCAGCAGCCGCGGUAAUACGGAGGGUGCAAGCGUUAAUCGGAAUUACUGGGCGUAAAGCGCACGCAGGCGGUCUGUCAAGUCGGAUGUGAAAUCCCCGGGCUCAGCCUGGGAACUGCAUUGUAAACUGGCAGGCUAGAGUCUUGUAGAGGGGGGUAGAAUUCCAGGUGUAGCGGUGAAAUGCGUAGAGAUCUGGAGGAAUACCGGUGGCGAAGGCGGCCCCCUGGACAAAGACUGACGCUCAGGUGCGAAAGCGUGGGGAGUAAACAGGAUUAGAUACCCCUGUAGUC
rnacentral:rRNA from 1 species